rnacentral:lncRNA from 1 species
AGAUCUUUUGAAGCCCAUCGGGUUCUUCAAUAAAUGUGGUAAGUUUCCCACAAAAGGCAGAGGUGUUGGACCAGGUGGAAAUCGACCUUUGUAUGAAUAAAUCCUGAAGAUCUCAAACAGAACCAGAAAAAUUAAGCCCAGGAACAGAGUCAAGCCCACAGAGGCCAAGUCUAACUUCAGGAGAGCCGUAAACAUGAUGACCAGUUCAGUUCAGGACAAAACACAACAGCAGUAUAGAAUCAGGAGCUUUAUAACAGCAGAAGAGGGAGGAGACAGAGAGAGAUUGACCUGCUGUUAACGCCUUUCAGUCCUGUCUUCAUCCUCUACCCAAACAGAGCCCCGCAUCUUAUGAAUAAAAUCUGUUGAUUUGCAAAAAAUUACCUAAAAGUACCUGAUUUGACAUGAUACUUACGAAAGUAGUUUGUUUGAUUCACACUGCCUGGAAAAUUAUUGGUGUAUCAGAGCUGAUGUCACUGCAGGAUAUGUAUGAACAGGACGCAUUAAGAUGUGCUAAACAAAUAGCUUGUGACGUAUCACAUUC